rnacentral:rRNA from 1 species
AACAGGAUUAGAUACCCUGGUAGUCCACGCCGUAAACGAUGUCGACUUGGAGGUUGUGCCCUUGAGGCGUGGCUUCCGGAGCUAACGCGUUAAGUCGACCGCCUGGGGAGUACGGCCGCAAGGUUAAAACUCAAAUGAAUUGACGGGGGCCCGCACAAGCGGUGGAGCAUGUGGUUUAAUUCGAUGCAACGCGAAGAACCUUACCUACUCUUGACAUCCAGAGAACUUAGCAGAGAUGCUUUGGUGCCUUCGGGAACUCUGAGACAGGUGCUGCAUGGCUGUCGUCAGCUCGUGUUGUGAAAUGUUGGGUUAAGUCCCGCAACGAGCGCAACCCUUAUCCUUUGUUGCCAGCGGUCCGGCCGGGAACUCAAAGGAGACUGCCAGUGAUAAACUGGAGGAAGGUGGGGAUGACGUCAAGUCAUCAUGGCCCUUACGAGUAGGGCUACACACGUGCUACAAUGGCGCAUACAAAGAGAAGCGACCUCGCGAGGGCAAGCGGACCUCAUAAAGUGCGUCGUAGUCCGGAUUGGAGUCUGCAACUCGACUCCAUGAAGUCGGAAUCGCUAGUAAUCGUGGAUCAGAAUGCCACGGUGAAUACGUUCCCGGGCCUUGUACACACCGCCCGUCACACCAUGGGAGUGGGUUGCAAAAGAAGUAGGUAGCUUAACCUUCGGGAGGGCGCUUACCACUUUGUGAUUCAUGACUGGGGUGAAGUCGUAACAAGGUAACC